UUCUUGUCGGGUAAGUUCCGACCCGCACGAAAGGCGUAACGAUCUGGGAGCUGUCUCGGAGAGAGACUCGGCGAAAUAGAAUUGUCUGUGAAGAUACGGACUACCUGCACCUGGACAGAAAGACCCUAUGAAGCUUUACUAUAGCCUGGAAUUGUGUUCGGGCUUCGCUUACGCAGGAUAGGUGGGAGGCUGUGAAGUUCUGCUUGUGGGCAGAAUCGAGCCAACGGUGAGAUACCACUUUAGCGAGGCUAGAAUU
rnacentral:rRNA from 1 species